UCAUUUUGAAGAAUGAAAGCAUUUGCAUAAAAUAUUUAAAGAGAUAAUUUUUUAUAGUCUCUUUGUGUAACUUAUCCAAUUUGAUUUUUGUUUUUGUUAAGAAGGAAUCUGAGGAAACUCUUUGUUUUCACCUGAAUUAAAUACAUACCUGCAGCAAGGCAAAACAAAAUAAUUAAUAUCCCAUAUUUCCUGAAUGUGAUGAUGUGAACUUGCAUUAAGCAACACAAACCCAGGAAGGCAAGCUGUUCUUUGCAAUGGAAACUAUUCCAGUGAAGGGAUGAGAAUACUACAGGUGUACCAGACUGGGCUACAGCCCAGGGCACUUUCAAAGCAUGCAACUGCAGGAAUGUGUCUGGGCUGAGGGCCGCUGAAGCUGCUUUUUUCUGGAGUUGUGCCCAUGCAAUAUGAAACUGAGAUGAAAAGGAGAACCGUUAUUCACACAAAGCUCUCUUCCACUGAAGCAUAAAAGGGGAGGAAGGAUUCAUUCAGUCAGCCUGAGUGCAUGCUAGGAGCAUUUUGGGUUUGUGCGUCAUUGGGUACCUGAACCUCCUCCCACAAGGAUGACUGGCAACUCAACCAACCCUCUCAGACAUUGAGAAAUCCUAUUUCCAACACCAAUUCAAUGAGAUAUAAUGUGGAGCUGCUACUGGAAGGAAGGUAUAGAAGGGAAGUC